AUAUCUCUCUGUACGGGAAGGAUGAGAAGCUUCGACUAAGGUUCGAUUCGAGCGCAGCGAGAAAGCGUUGCCAACGGCA
rnacentral:sRNA from 1 species